AAGCAGUGGGAGCACGCUUAGGCGUGUGACUGCGUACCUUUUGUAUAAUGGGUCAGCGACUUAUAUUCUGUAGCAAGGUUAACCGAAUAGGGGAGCCGAAGGGAAACCGAGUCUUAACUGGGCGUUAAGUUGCAGGGUAUAGACCCGAAACCCGGUGAUCUAGCCAUGGGCAGGUUGAAGGUUGGGUAACACUAACUGGAGGACCGAACCGACUAAUGUUGAAAAAUUAGCGGAUGACUUGUGGCUGGGGGUGAAAGGCCAAUCAAACCGGGAGAUAGCUGGUUCUCCCCGAAAGCUAUUUAGGUAGCGCCUCGUGAAUUCAUCUCCGGGGGUAGAGCACUGUUUCGGCAAGGGGGUCAUCCCGACUUACCAACCCGAUGCAAACUGCGAAUACCGGAGAAUGUUAUCACGGGAGACACACGGCGGGUGCUAACGUCCGUCGUGAAGAGGGAAACAACCCAGACCGCCAGCUAAGGUCCCAAAGUCAUGGUUAAGUGGGAAACGAUGUGGGAAGGCCCAGACAGCCAGGAUGUUGGCUUAGAAGCAGCCAUCAUUUAAAGAAAGCGUAAUAGCUCACUGGUCGAGUCGGCCUGCGCGGAAGAUGUAACGGGGCUAAACCAUGCACCGAAGCUGCGGCAGCGACGCUUAUGCGUUGUUGGGUAGGGGAGCGUUCUGUAAGCCUGUGAAGGUGUGCUGUGAGGCAUGCUGGAGGUAUCAGAAGUGCGAAUGCUGACAUAAGUAACGAUAAAGCGGGUGAAAAGCCCGCUCGCCGGAAGACCAAGGGUUCCUGUCCAACGUUAAUCGGGGCAGGGUGAGUCGACCCCUAAGGCGAGGCCGAAAGGCGUAGUCGAUGGGAAACAGGUUAAUAUUCCUGUACUUGGUGUUACUGCGAAGGGGGGACGGAGAAGGCUAUGUUGGCCGGGCGACGGUUGUCCCGGUUUAAGCGUGUAGGCUGGUUUUCCAGGCAAAUCCGGAAAAUCAAGGCUGAGGCGUGAUGACGAGGCACUACGGUGCUGAAGCAACAAAUGCCCUGCUUCCAGGAAAAGCCUCUAAGCAUCAGGUAACAUCAAAUCGUACCCCAAACCGACACAGGUGGUCAGGUAGAGAAUACCAAGGCGCUUGAGAGAACUCGGGUGAAGGAACUAGGCAAAAUGGUGCCGUAACUUCGGGAGAAGGCACGCUGAUAUGUAGGUGAAGCGACUUGCUCGUGGAGCUGAAAUCAGUCGAAGAUACCAGCUGGCUGCAACUGUUUAUUAAAAACACAGCACUGUGCAAACACGAAAGUGGACGUAUACGGUGUGACGCCUGCCCGGUGCCGGAAGGUUAAUUGAUGGGGU
rnacentral:rRNA from 1 species